GUGCCAGCCGCCGCGGUAAUACGUAGGGUGCGAGCGUUGUCCGGAAUUAUUGGGCGUAAAGAGCUCGUAGGCGGUUUGUCGCGUCGACUGUGAAAACUGGGGGCUUAACUCUCAGCUUGCAGUCGAUACGGGCAGACUUGAGUUCGGUAGGGGAGACUGGAAUUCCUGGUGUAGCGGUGAAAUGCGCAGAUAUCAGGAGGAACACCGGUGGCGAAGGCGGGUCUCUGGGCCGAUACUGACGCUGAGGAGCGAAAGCGUGGGGAGCGAACAGGAUUAGAAACCCCGGUAGUCC
rnacentral:rRNA from 1 species